rnacentral:rRNA from 1 species
UACGUAGGGUGCAAGCGUUGUCCGGAAUUAUUGGGCGUAAAGAGCUCGUAGGCGGUCUGUCGCGUCUGCUGUGAAAACUCGGGGCUUAACCCCGGGCCUGCAGUGGGUACGGGCAGACUAGAGUGCGGUAGGGGAGACUGGAAUUCCUGGUGUAGCGGUGAAAUGCGCAGAUAUCGAGAGGAACACCAGUGGCGAAGGCGAGUCCCUGGACAACACCUGACACUGAGGCACGAAAGCUAGGGGAGCAAACAGG